ACUAGGUGGAGCUCACGAAGCAGCUUUUACGGGCCUAGUCCAGUGUUUUGUGGCUUUCUGAGACUGCAGCUGCACUUUAUAAUGUUCUGCAGUCCAAAAUCUUGGAAGAGACCCAACCUUUAGUUCUGUGAAGCAUCUUCCUUGCGGACACUCUACAGUGGCACAACCACCCGGCUCCAGUAGGCUUUCCUCCGUGGUGGCUCCACCCCUCCCGCCACUCUCUUUCUAAGCAGGUCCUGGGAAUUCCUUGAAAUCCAGAAGACCGUGCCACACUGCACCUGGCUGGCCUGAGACACCUUGACUCAGCACCAAAGCUUUCCCGAAGGGCAGCAGAACCAAGGAGGGCCACACUGGAAUGCGGAAGCAGCUGAGAUGGUGCCUGCUUGCUGAAUGCUCCAGAGGAAGUAACAUCAUCCUCACAGAGCAGAGAGUGCUCCAGAAGAAGGGACAUCAUCCUCACAGAGCAGAGAGUGCUCCAGGGGGAGGGACAUCAUCCUCACAGAGCAGAAGAGAUGAAAAUGUCAACCAAUGCAAAGCCUCUGACUUAGUUAGGGUUUCUACUGCUGAGAUAAAACACCACGAUAAAAGCAACUUGGAGAGGAGAUUAUUUCGGUUUCCACUCAGGUUACAGACCAUCACUAAGGGAAGUCAAGACAGGAGCUCAGGGCAGGAACUGAAGCAGAGGCCAUACAGAAGUUGUCGCUUACUGGCUUGCUUUCCAUGGUACAUAUUAAAAAUAAUUUUCCAUGCAAUAUAUUCUGAUCAUGGUUUCCCCUCUCUGAAGCCCCCAGACCCUCCCUCAACCAUCCACCAUCACACCCUUUUCUCUCUCUUUAGAAAAAUAAACAAAAUUCAAACAAACCAGAAUUAAAAAACAAAACAAAGAAACACACACAGAGACACACACACACAACUCAAAAAAUCACCAAAUCAAAAACUAUAAUAUGCAAGUGAAAGGCUGGUAAGGAAAAAACAAGCUCCAAUAAAGACAUAUGACACACAUAGUCUAUAAAAAUA